GACGAACGCUGGCGGCGUGCUUAACACAUGCAAGUCGAACGCUGAAGCCCAGCUUGCUGGGUGGAUGAGUGGCGAACGGGUGAGUAACACGUGAGUAACCUGCCCCCUUCUUUGGGAUAACGCCCGGAAACGGGUGCUAAUACUGGAUAUUCACUGGCCUUCGCAUGGGGGUUGGUGGAAAGGUUUUUUCUGGUGGGGGAUGGGCUCGCGGCCUAUCAGCUUGUUGGUGGGGUGAUGGCCUACCAAGGCUUUGACGGGUAGCCGGCCUGAGAGGGUGACCGGUCACAUUGGGACUGAGAUACGGCCCAGACUCCUACGGGAGGCAGCAGUGGGGAAUAUUGCACAAUGGGCGAAAGCCUGAUGCAGCGACGCCGCGUGAGGGAUGACGGCCUUCAGGUUGUAAACCUCUUUCGCUCAUGGUCAAGCCGCAACAGUGGUUGUGGUGAGGGUAGUGGG
rnacentral:rRNA from 1 species